GUUUAACAGAAAGCUUCACACAGGUGCACACAUCACACCUUCCUAGCUCAGCUUCCAAGCUGAGACACUCGCUGUCAGCUACCCUGAGUUCAGCAUUCAUCUCCAUCCAGGAAAAUCAACAAUUGCAGCUGUGACUAUUACCCACCAGGACCAUCGGCUGCAGAGGGAAGGUCGUGGGGAGGAAAUAUAUCCAUGGCGGAGGGAAACAAGAGCCGAGGCCGUAUGCAGAGAAGCAGAGGCAGACUCACACUACAGCCGAUCAGCCAGGCCUGCUAAAGCCACAGCAUCUGCAGUGCUAACGGGACAUGGCAGCGGCAGCAGGAGGAGGGCGGAAUGGGAUCUCCCCAGCUCGGCAGUGCAGUGAGCAAAGCUUACCUUGAAAGACAUCUUGCACAUCACCGCAGCAGCUCAUUCCGAGCUAGCCCGGGGGACGAGCAGAGCCGGCUUUCCUAUCCCGCACUCUCUAGCCCUUCGCCCACUUGGCAGGGUGGGCGAUCAUAGACUCGCUUUGCAGAGUGACUGGAGCACAGCGUCUGCAGGGGCUGCAUGCUGCAUCGCGCCCCGGAGACAGCGGCUGCUCACAGAGAGCUGCUGCACCGUCCACUCGCUCGGGAAUCCAAACACAUCUAUGCCGUCUACCCGCGUCACAGCAUAGAACAGGGCAGGCUUAUGGACCCAAUGCAUACAUACACCGGUGCAUCAUGCAAGCCUGUGUGCCUAACGAUGGACACUUUCCGAAGUGCACACAGAUGCCUCCUCCUUGACUCACACACUUCAUACUUCCCAGUGAACACACAAAUGUACAGAUGCAUCACACACAUGCAGAUAAUACACUUUUCAAAUGUGUGCACACGCCUGCAGCCUAUGAAGUUGGAUGUUUAAUGAUAUACACUUCCCAAAUAUAAAUGUAUGCAUGAUCAGACAAUAUUGAUAGACACUAACCAAAUGCAGACAGACAUAGGCAUUGUACAAACCCAAACCCAUGAAAAUGCAAGCAUAGUGUGCCAAACUACACCCUCCUUCCAAAGGUGGAGUUUUGAUAUCAAGUAGAUGAGCAAUAUGAUCAAAGAUAAAACAAUACACAAUUAUUUUUAUAAUACUAUCAUUUUUGUUUUGUUCUAAACCUUAGGCCUAGUCCACACAGUUUUUAGACCAAUUAAACUUUUUCAGUUAAGGUUGCGAUUUUUUUUUUUAAACCAAAAUAGUUAAAUCAGCACAAUUCCCUAAUAUGAAUGCACUCACUGGUACAAAGGUGCCCUAUUUCACUAUAGGUUGCUCCCCUACAUUUACAGGAAUAAGCUACUUAAGCGCCAUUGUACAAGAAUGACCACAUCCAUACUAAGGGGUGUACCAUGUGACUUUAUAGUGGUUUCAAACAGAUAUAGUUAAAGUGGUACAAAAUCUGAAUGUAGACAAGCCUUUAUAGAUGCACUGAUGUUACCCCCAUGAAACUUCACUUCUUGACUUCUUUUCCCAUCUGCAUGCCCACAAUUCUUUGCUACUCCUUCCAGUCCAUGGCAUGCAUUUGUGGGUCUUGGAGUUCCAGUCCUUUUCUCGUCAAACUUCUUCUGACAGAGUCUUUCCAUUGUAUGUUCAGUCUUGUGCAUCCUUUCUUGCCAUCCUCUUCCUCCCAUGCUUUCUUUACUGGUUGUUCUUCCAUUUGUAGCCCCUCUCCUGUUCAUUGGCCCAAUAUGAAGGUGUUCAAGAUAGGGAAAGUCUGCCUUGUGACUUUUUACACAACUUUGGGAAGCUGGACCUGAAGUGUCUCUGUGUGGUCUGCAUUGUGUGUGUUCACCUCAGACCAGACCCACUCAGACAAACCACCCGGAACAAGGUUUUAUUCUGU